UACGGGGGGGGCAAGCGUUGUUCGGAAUUACUGGGCGUAAAGGGCUCGUAGGCGGCCAACUAAGUCGGAUGUGAAAUCCCCAGGCUUAACCUGGGAACUGCAUCCGAUACUGGAUGGCUUGAAUUCGGGAGAGGGAUGCAGAAUUCCAGGUGUAGCGGUGAAAUGCGUAGAUAUCUGGAGGAAUACCGGUGGCGAAGGCGGCAUCCUGGACCGGCAUUGACGCUGAGGCGCGAAAAGCCAGGGGAGCAAAGCGGG
rnacentral:rRNA from 1 species